rnacentral:sRNA from 1 species
GCCAGGCAUGGUGGUACAUGCCUGUAAUCCCAGUGACUUGGGAGGCUGAGACUGGAGGAUCACAAGACUCAUCAAAAGCAAUGAGCUAAGUAACUCAGUGAAACCCUGUCUCUA